rnacentral:rRNA from 1 species
UACAGAGGGGCAAGCGUUGUUCGGAAUUACGUGGCGUAAAGGGCGCGUAGGCGGCCUGCUAAGUCGAACGGUGAAAUCCCCGGGCUCAAGCCCGGGAACCUGCGUCCGAUAACUGGCAGGCUUGAAUCCGGGAGAGGGAUGCGGAAUUCCUGAGUGUAGCGGUGAAUGACGCAGAUAUCAGGAGGAACACCGGUGGCGAAGGCGGUCUCUGGCAUGACUGACGCUGAGGAGCGAAGAGCGGUGGGAGCAAACAGG